CCUACGGUAGGCAGCAGUGGGGAAUAUUGGACAAUGGGCGAAAGCCUGAUCCAGCCAUGCCGCGUGUGUGAAGAAGGCCUUCGGGUUGUAAAGCACUUUCAGUGGGGAAGAAAGCCUUGGGGCUAAUACCCUCGAGGAAGGACAUCACCCACAGAAGAAGCACCGGCUAACUCCGUGCCAGCAGCCGCGGUAAUACGGAGGGUGCGAGCGUUAAUCGGAAUUACUGGGCGUAAAGCGCGCGUAGGCGGUCUGAUAAGCCGGUUGUGAAAGCCCCGGGCUCAACCUGGGAACGGCAUCCGGAACUGUCAGGCUAGAGUGCAGGAGAGGGAGGUAGAAUUCCCGGUGUAGCGGUGAAAUGCGUAGAGAUCGGGAGGAAUACCAGUGGCGAAGGCGGCCUUCUGGACUGACACUGACGCUGAGGUGCGAAAGCGUGGGUAGCAAACAGGAUUAGAUACCCCUGUAGUC
rnacentral:rRNA from 1 species